CGCCAGACUCCUACGGGAGGCAGCAGUGGGGAAUAUUGCACAAUGGGGGGAACCCUGAUGCAGCGACGCCGCGUGGGUGAAGGAGCACCUCGGUGCGUAAAGCCCUAUCGGCAGGGAAGAAAAGCGAACAGGUUCGCCUGGACGGUACCUGACUAAGAAGCCCCGGCUAACUACGUGCCCGCAGCCGCGGUAAUACGGAGGGGGCAAGCGUUAUCCGGAUUCACUGGGUGUAAAGGGAGCGUAGACGGCGGCGCAAGUCUGGAGUGAAAGCCCGGGGCCCAACCCCGGGACUGCUCGGGAAACUGCGUCGCUGGAGUACGGGAGGGGCAGGCGGAAUUCCUGGUGUAGCGGUGAAAUGCGUAGAUAUCAGGAGGAACACCGGCGGCGAAGGCG
rnacentral:rRNA from 1 species